AUUCCUCUAAAUUGUAUUCACCGUUCUAGUUAACACGAACCAAAGUAGUUCAAAUACUUUAUACGUCGAAAACAACGGUCAUGGUCCCUCAAGUUAUUUCGAGUCAAGUUUGAUUGUAUAACGCGUAAAAUCAUAUUUAAUUUCGAAAUUUGGUAUAAUUCACCGUGAAUCGUGUCUCGUACUCUUGUUACGUGCCCACACGGCUUAUUAUAUAUAAGCACGGGUGAGCUCAUAGUGAAAACACAGCAUCGCGUGCGGACCCGAAUCGAAAUAUCAACGAUAAGACAAAUGUAUAAUUUCAACAUAAAAUUUCAUCAGCCGACCUAGAGAAAUUAAUUCCAUGAGAUUUAAGAAAUUGUCACAACGGAAUAAUGUAGAGAACGGCGGCUAUGAACAAUGGGUUGCGGGGGUCUCUCCGAGCAUUUAUAACGCCGCUGAAAAAUCGUUUAAGAGACGAGUCCACCACGAUCACAUGCGAACAACUUCGCUUC